CUUCAAAAUACUCAAGUGUAGCCAACAACCCUUUUCCAUUAUAUCUCCAGCUAGAAAAUUCGUAUUUUUUUCUUUCUUAAUGCAUCUUCACUAAGAGAGGAUUUGGAUUCAGCUUCCGGCAGACUUAGAGAGCUAUUUUUUUUUAUUGAACAACAUAGCACAACAGAGAGCCAAAAGAACAAACAUUCAAGGUCAAGCGCGAGAAUGAGAGCUACUCAAGGAGUCGCAACACCUUAACAAAUCUUUGCUAUCAGGUUGAGCUGUGAUGGAUGAUGAAGUGUUGCUGAGUGGAGCUUUUGUCGAACUAAAAUUAGGCCCAGAAAGGAUAUAUGUCUGCAUACAUGUAUCUCAGUUAUGUCUUCCGCUGCAAACACUGAUUAUGUUAGAUAUAUAACUAUGCCAAUUACUCUUCAAAGAAAUAUCUAAUGCUUACUUGGGUUCAUCGAGUAUCCUUUUUAAUUAUAUGCGUCAAUCCUUCCAUGUCUUAAAUUUUAUUUCAAGAAUUAAUGCUAGAUAUCAAUGUCUAUAAUCGAGUUA